AUUGAACGCUGGCGGCAGGCCUAACACAUGCAAGUCGAGCGGAUGAAGGGAGCUUGCUCCUGGAUUCAGCGGCGGACGGGUGAGUAAUGCCUAGGAAUCUGCCUGUUAGUGGGGGAUAACGUCCGGAAACGGGCGCUAUUACCGCAUACGUCCUUACGGAGAAAGGGGGGGAUCUUCGGACCUCACGCUAUCAGAUGAUCCUAGGUCGGAUUAGCUAGUUGGUGGGGUAAAGGCCUACCAAGGCGACGAUCCGUAACUGGUCUGAGAGGAUGAUCAGUCACACUGGAACUGAGACACGGUCCAGACUCCUACGGGAGGCAGCAGUGGGGAAUAUUGGACAAUGGGCGCAAGCCUGAUCCAGCCAUGCCGCGUGUGUGAAGAAGGUCUUCGGAUUGUAAAGCACUUUAGGUUGGGAGGAAGGGCAGUAAGUUAAUACCUUGCUGUUUUGACGUUACCAACAGAAUAAGCACCGGCUAACUUCGUG
rnacentral:rRNA from 1 species